AAUUUUUUUUAUGAUGAAAUAAAUUAGUAUAUAUAUAUAGUUAUAGCACUUAUAUAUCAUUGAUCUUUUAGUUGUUUUUGAUUGCUUCCACUGUCCUUAUUUGUAAGUCGCUUUGGAUAAAAGCGUCUGAUAAAUGAAUAAAUGUAUGAUGGGCUCCCUUGUAAAAGAGAUUUGAUCUCAAUGGGACAUCACCUGGUUAAAUAAAGGAAAAAUAAAAAAUCUACUUUUUUUUCUUCUUUUUUUUUUGAAACAGAUAUGUGUUUCUCUUUAAGUUUUUCUGAUGAAUAAAAAUACAUUUAUUUAAAAUAAAAUUUGUUUGUAACAACAAAGGUCUAUCUAUUCAAAAUCAAGGAUCAUUAUUCGUUAACCAUAAUGCAUAAAUGUGCUUCACGAACACUAACAUCACACAUACAGGAGAUGCUGCAGAGCUCCUUCAUCUCACACACACUGGCCAUCUGGUCUGGUAGGUUGAGCAGGAACCCCCUUCCCUUCUGUGUCUCAUCUCUGUUACAGCCUCAGAUUGAUUAGUGUCUUCUAUUUCCCCUUUUGGCUCUAAUUUUCAGUUAGCAGGAGAAUCAGUCUGAGUAAUGACCUUGAAUGCUAUUGGAACAAACUGUGGUGUGCUUACAGAUCUGCUUCUAAUGUUUUAUUUGGACCUUAGUUAUCCAGCUGUUCUUUUCUUGAGCCAGUAUGAUCCAACUGUGGGUGAUUGUUUUCAGUCAAUGGACUGCAGAGAAAGUAAACGAAGAGACAAUUGUAGCAAAAAAAGAUUGUAAUAAGACUAAAAGGAUGGGAAGCAUUAACAAAUACUUUGACAGAGACUGUUGUGUCCAGGUUGAUCUCUCCCUGCAGUCACACGGAUGUAGUGUUUGAUAAUAUAAGGUAAGGAUUGUGUUUGAUAACGAGCUGUAAUUAGUUUGCUCUAAAGGGGUUUUGACAAAAAAAAAAAGAAAAAAAAAGCCCCUUGCCCUGUGCAGUCCUUAUGCACACUGUAACUGGCUGUUUAUCUGAUGUAAUAUAAAUACACAAGCAUAUAAUUACACAAAUACAACUGAAGCGCCAUUUACUAAGAGUGACAAAUAACAGGGCAUUUUAUUGAUGGAUUGGUUUCUAUUCAUAGUGUUGUUUAGUAGCCCCGCCCACAGUGAAAAAAAUCUAAUUUUGCCAAAAUAUUUUCCAGAACUGUAUAAUAAAUAUAAAAAAUCAUCUGACACAAUUUCAUGUUGAAUGACAGAUUUUGAAAUUAACAUGAAUGUCUAGGUUUAGACUAUGCUGGCUGAUCAAAAUCGUUUCUGAAUAAUAUCCAUCCUCUGAUCCGGAAACCGAUCGAGCACAGCCAUCUUGUGGGACAUCUCAAUUCUCUAAUUGCACCGCGAGGAUCGAGGAGUGAGGAGGCUUCACGAGCAUGAAGUUUUAUUAAGCAUGAAGUUAUGUGUGUUAUGUUUUGAUAGUGACUGUAAUUUUGAUGUAUAACGUUUACUUUUCAGCACAGUCGUAAUUAUAUUUAUUUACGUCUC